rnacentral:pre_miRNA from 1 species
AUCAGGGGAUCUUGUUAAAAUGCAGAUCCUGAUUCAUCAGGUCUGGGGUUCUGCGUUUCUAACAAGCUUCCAGGUGAUGCUCA